rnacentral:rRNA from 1 species
GAUGAACGCUGGCGGCGUGCCUAAUACAUGCAAGUCGAGCGAACAGACGAGGAGCUUGCUCCUCUGACGUUAGCGGCGGACGGGUGAGUAACACGUGGAUAACCUACCUAUAAGACUUGGAUAACUUCGGGAAACCGUAGCUAUUACCGGAUAAUAUAUUGAACCGCAUGGUUCAAUAGUGAAAGACGGUUUUGCUGUCACUUAUAGAUGGAUCCGCGCCGCAUUAGCUAGUUGGUAAGGUAACGGCUUACCAAGGCAACGAUGCGUAGCCGACCUGAGAGGGUGAUCGGACACACUGGAACUGAGACACGGUCCAGACUCCUACGGGAGGCAGCAGUAGGGAAUCUUCCGCAAUGGGCGAAAGCUUGACGGAGCAACGCCGCGUGAGUGAUGAAGGUCUUCGGAUCGUAAAACUCUGUUAUUAGGGAAGAACAAAUGUGUAAGUAACUAUGCACGUCUUGACGGUACCUAAUCAGAAAGCCACGGCUAACUACGUG